rnacentral:lncRNA from 1 species
AUUUUUCAAGAUAAUAUCAGAACUUUUUUAUAUAUUACAAUUACAAUAUAUAUUACAAUAUAGAUAUAAUUUUUUAUUAUUAUUAUAAAUUCUAAAAUAGAAUAGUGGGCAAACAAAAGAGAGGGAGGUUUAUUGAGUAAAUAGAACUUCUUCAAUAAACUUCAAAAAUUGAUAUUUUGAUGAGAUACAAAAAAAAUACUAAGGUUUUAUUCUUAUUUGAGGAUAGUAUGUAGGAAAUCGAGUAAUUUAUUCUUUCUUCUAACUUUGAAAGUAUCGAUAGAAACUAUCGAGCAACGGGCGCAUGGAUCAAUGAACUUCAUUUUUCAAAAACAAAAACAUCAUCAGAAAAAUAGAAUGGAGUCUUGCCAUUUAUACGAAAAAAUAUUCUAAUUCUUAAGAACUCAAGGGGGUUCCCUUCUUUGUAUGAUUUGAGGGGGGAGGUCAAUUAAUCUGAUUACUACAGAGAUGAACCCAAUCCAGAAUAUGAACCAUAAAAGAAAAUACCUAUUAAACCGAUCACAAGAAUACCAGCUACAGUACCGAUU